rnacentral:rRNA from 1 species
GAUGAACGCUGGCGGCGUGCUUAACACAUGCAAGUCGAACGAGAAGUGAAGACGGAAACCUUCGGGCGGAAGGCUUUAUUUCGAGUGGCGGACGGGUGAGUAACGCGUGGGUAACCUGCCUCAUACAGGGGGAUAACAGUUGGAAACGACUGUUAAUACCGCAUAAGACCACAGCACCGCAUGGUGCGGGGGUAAAAACUCCGGUGGUAUGAGAUGGACCCGCGUUCGAUUAGCCAGUUGGCGGGGUAACGGCCCACCAAAGCGACGAUCGAUAGCCGAUCUGAGAGGAUGACCGGCCACAUUGGGACUGAGACACGGCCCAAACUCCUACGGGAGGCAGCAGUGGGGAAUAUUGCACAAUGGGGGAAACCCUGAUGCAGCGACGCCGCGUGAGUGAAGAAGUAUUUCGGUAUGUAAAGCUCUAACAGCAGGGAAGAAAAUGACGGUACCUGAGUAAGAAGCCCCGGCUAACUACGUG